rnacentral:tRNA from 2 species
GCCUCGGUAGCUCAGACUGGUAGAGCACCGGCUUGGUAAGCCGGGGGUCGCGGGUUCGAGUCCCGCCCGAGGCU